ensembl:snRNA U6 U6 spliceosomal RNA
GCUCACUUCAGCGUAACAUAUAUUAAAAUUAUGAAUGAUACAGAGAAGAUUAGCAUAGCCUACAUGCAAGGAAUACACACAAAUUCGUAAAGCAUUCCAUAUUUUU